rnacentral:rRNA from 1 species
GAUGAACGCUGGCGGCGUGCCUAAUACAUGCAAGUCGAGCGAACGGACGAGAAGCUUGCUUCUCUGAUGUUAGCGGCGGACGGGUGAGUAACACGUGGAUAACCUACCUAUAAGACUGGGAUAACUUCGGGAAACCGGAGCUAAUACCGGAUAAUAUUUUGAACCGCAUGGUUCAAAAGUGAAAGACGGUCUUGCUGUCACUUAUAGAUGGAUCCGCGCUGCAUUAGCUAGUUGGUAAGGUAACGGCUUACCAAGGCAACGAUGCAUAGCCGACCUGAGAGAGUGGAUGACCAGCCGGGAUGUGAGAAAGGGUACAGACAACUAGAGGGAGACACAGCAAGGAAUCAUAGGGGAGGAGGGAAAGCGAAACGGGGCAAAGAGGGAGAAAGGAUGAUGAACUAGGGAUCAUGCAAGCUUGUUGUUGAUAGAGAACAAAAGGGUAGGUACCAGUGGUGAUAUUGACGGUACCGGAAAAGUAAGCAACGGCUAACUACGUG